UACGUAGGGGGCAAGCGUUGUCCGGAUUUAUUGGGCGUAAAGAGCGCGUAGGCGGCCACACAGGUCCGCUGUGAAAACUCGAGGCUCAACCUCGAGCUGUCGGUGGAAACCGUGUGGCUAGAGUCCGGAAGAGGAGAGUGGAAUUCCCGGUGUAGCGGUGAAAUGCGCAGAUAUCGGGAAGAACACCGGUGGCGAAGGCGGCUCUCUGGGACAGUACUGACGCUGAGACGCGAAAGCGUGGGGAGCGAACAGG
rnacentral:rRNA from 1 species